UACGGAGGGUGCAAGCGUUAAUCGGAAUUACUGGGCGUAAAGCGCACGCAGGUGGCUGAGCGAGUCGAUUGUGAAAGCCCUGGGCUUAACCUGGGAAUUGCAGUCGAUACUACUCAGCUAGAGUAUGGGAGAGGGUAGUGGAAUUCCCGGUGUAGCGGUGAAAUGCGUAGAUAUCAGAAGGAACAUCAGUGGCGAAGGCGGCUUCCUGGACCAAUACUGACGAUCAGGUGCGAAAGCGUGGGGAGCAAACAGG
rnacentral:rRNA from 1 species